rnacentral:tRNA from 1 species
GCGUUGGUGGUUCAGGGGUAGAAUUCCCACCUUCCACGUGGAAGACCCAGGUUCCAUUCCCGGCCAGUGCA